UUUUUUUUUUUUUUUUUUGAUGAAGAUCAGCCCUGAGCUAACAUCUGCUGCCAGUCCUCCUCUUUUUUUGCUGAGGAAGACUGGCCCUGAGCUAACAUCCGUGCCCAUCUUCCUCUACUUUAUAUGUGGGAUGGCUGCCACAGCAUGGCUUGACAAGCGGUGCCAUGUCCACACCUGGGAUCCGGACCCACGAACCCCGGGCCACCGAGAAGUGGAACGUGUGCACUUAACCGCUGCGCCACCAGGUACGUGCUGAAAUCUUUACGGUCCAAACAAAAUGAUUUUAAGGAUUUGCUUCAAUGUGCAGUAGAGGGAGUGGAAGAGAGGAGAGAACGAUACAAACGUAUGUUCAAGCAAUCCAAAAAAAGGCAAGAUACAAGAGAGAAAAAAGUGUAUGAAUUAUAUCUCAAUAAAGGUUGCCACAAAUGAGAGCAUUUCCUCCUUUUUUAUGGCUACAUAAUAUUCCAUUGUGUGUAUAUUUAUCCAUUCACCCUUUAAUGGACACCCAGGUUGCUUCCAUGUCUUGGCUGUUAUGAAUAAUGCUGCGAUGAACACAGGGGUGCAGAUAUUUCUUUGAGAUGGUGAUUUCAAGAAAUGUUCUAUAUCUUAAUGCUGGUGGUGGUUAUAUGACUGUCC
rnacentral:lncRNA from 1 species